rnacentral:rRNA from 1 species
UGCGCAGGCGGUUUUGUAAGACAGCUGUGAAAUCCCCGGGCUUAACCUGGGAACUGCGGUUGUGACUGCAAAACUCGAGUACGGCAGAGGGGGGUAGAAUUCCUGGUGUAGCAGUGAAAUGCGUAGAGAUCAGGAGGAAUACCGAUGGCGAAGGCAGCCCCCUGGGCCAGUACUGACGCUCAUGCACGAAAGCGUGGGGAGCAAACAGGAUUAGAUACCCUGGUAGUCCACGCCCUAAACGAUGUCGACUAGUUGUUCGAAGGGUAAAACCUUUGAGUAACGUAGCUAACGCGUGAAGUCGACCGCCUGGGGAGUACGGCCGCAAGGUUAAA